CGCCAUAAACGGGGGUGCUCACAGCGGGGCUGAGAUGCGCAUUGCAGCGCGAACCCUUCACAGCUGAUCCGGGUAAUGCCGGCGGAGCGAGGAUCGCAUGUUCAUUG
rnacentral:ncRNA from 1 species